GACACUGUCAGACAUGAGACAAUCAGUAGUCACUAGUCACUGGUCACUAGUCACUACUCACUACGCAGUACGCACAAUAAUACCUUUUACAAAUUACAAUUAUUUGCGGAUUAAAAGCGAUACCAUUUUUUGCUACAAUCUUAACCUGCCGAAACAUAAUUUGUUUUUUGUUAGUUGUUACAAGCAAAAUUUAGAAUAGACACUAUUCUACACUGAAAGUUUGAAUGAGUUUCGUGGAAGACAGACUAGGAUAUUUAAUAUUAACAGAGGAUGGUGCUGUACUGGAAUCGGGUGGAGAACUAGAAAACGACGAACGAGUUGCAACCAUUGUUACUGAUCUAAUCAGUUUAUCAAACAGUGUAGAUCCAGUGGCAUUUGCUCC